rnacentral:rRNA from 1 species
GAUGAACGCUAGCGGGAGGCUUAACACAUGCAAGUCGAGCGGGAGGGGCAGCAAUGCCCUGAGAGCGGCGCACGGGUGCGUAACGCGUAUGCAACCUGCCUUAUACAAAGGGAUAGCCCAUGGAAACGUGGAUUAAUAUCUUAUAGGACUUAAGAAUCGCAUGGUUUUUAAGUUAAAACUACGGUGGUAUAAGAUGGGCAUGCGUCUGAUUAGGUAGUUGGUAGGGUAACGGCCUACCAAGCCGACGAUCAGUAGGGGUUCUGAGAGGAUUACCCCCCACACUGGUACUGAGACACGGACCAGACUCCUACGGGAGGCAGCAGUGAGGAAUAUUGGUCAAUGGGCGAGAGCCUGAACCAGCCAUCCCGCGUGCAGGAUGACGGCCCUAUGGGUUGUAAACUGCUUUUCUGCUCCAAGAAACCCUGUUACGUGUAGCAGGUUGACGGUAGAGUGGGAAUAAGCAUCGGCUAACUCCGUGCCAGCCGCCGCAGUAAAAC